rnacentral:rRNA from 1 species
CCUACGGGAGGCAGCAGUGGGGAAUAUUGCACAAUGGAGGAAACUCUGAUGCAGCGACGCCGCGUGAGGGAAGAAGGUCUUCGGAUUGUAAACCUCUGUUGUCAGGGACGAUAAUGACGGUACCUGACGAGGAAGCCACGGCUAACUACGUGCCAGCAGCCGCGGUAAAACGUAGGUGGCAAGCGUUGUCCGGAAUUACUGGGUGUAAAGGGAGCGCAGGCGGAUUUGCAAGUUGGAAGUGAAACUCAUGGGCUCAACCCAUGAACUGCUUUCAAAACUGCAGAUCUUGAGUGGUGUAGAGGUAGGCGGAAUUCCCGGUGUAGCGGUGGAAUGCGUAGAUAUCGGGAGGAACACCAGUGGCGAAGGCGGCCUACUGGGCACUAACUGACGCUGAGGCUCGAAAGCAUGGGUAGCAAACAGGAUU